rnacentral:tRNA from 1 species
AGGAUAGUAGUUAAAUAUAACAUUUGAAUUGCAAUCAAAAAGUAUUGAUGAAACAAUCUAUCUU